rnacentral:lncRNA from 1 species
CCAAUACCGAGACCAUUCUCACGAUGUGACUUCUGUAAACCAUAAAGCAGCCAAUGUGUUUUACAAUCUGCUUCCUUUCAUCCUCCCAUCUCCCUUCGAGAGCCACUUUAGCACCACGACUAGGAGGACAGGAACUACCAGAGCCCCAUCAAAUCCAGCAGAGAGAUGGGACCACAUCACCACUACUACAGCAAGAAGGCCAGGAGCAACUAGAGCACCGUCAAAUCCUAUGGAACUUGAUGGGUUUGACUUGGAAGACUCCUUGGAUGAUCGGAACGAUCUAGAUGGCCCCAAAAAGCCACGUACAGGAGAAGGAGGAGAUAAGUUCUAGAUGCUCGACAUCACAGGCCAGUGCUACAGCUCCUGGUAUGGUUUGUCUUAUACCUGCAAUGGCGUUCUGAGACGUCCAGAGUACUGUAGAUCUGGGCCAGAUCUGGGCCACGUCGAACUGUAGGAGAACCCCACAAUGGUAAUACUGAUAUAUUUUGGUCUUGGGAUUCCCCGAAUUAUUGGGAAUCUCAAUAACUAUUGUCCGUGUGUGUCAUAUCUAUCUCUGUUUAUCAUCUAUAUAUUUAAUUUUUUUAAAAAAUCAGUAUUGUUCGUAUAAAAUGAUAAUACUAAAACAAUACAUAUUAACAUAAAUAGCACAUUGUAUGAGUCUGUGUCGAGAGAAAAACAAUUUGUCAGAGAGUGGCAUUAUUUUAUACUUCUUAGAAAUUUCUAGAAUGUCAAUCUUGCUAGGAGAUACCUGGAUUCUCAUAUUGAGAUAUGCAACUUGAAAGCUGUCCUCUGACCUACACAGACACGCACACACACACACACACACACACACACACACACACACAAAUACAAUUAAAUUCAAAAGGGUUUAAAACAGAUAUAUAAAUGAAUAAUACAUUUUAAAAGGUGUUUAGUAACCUUUCCUCACUUAGUUCUCCUUUCAUUACUUUUCUGGUUGCCCUGAACAAGGACCUAGCAAGCGAAGAGAAGAGGAAGGAUUCUUUCACCUUAUCAUUUUAGAAGCGAUGAGGCCCCGAUAUGACUCUGCUGCUUGCUUUGUAUCCACACACAGGAAGUGCAGAGACAGAGACAGGAAGUGGGCUAGUAAAACCCAGAUGUCAACUUUCAGUGAUGUAUUUCCAAAAGCAGGCCUCAAGAGUCCCAGCACAUGAGCCUAUAGGGAAAUUUCAUGUUUGAAUUACAACACCCGUUCAAUGGACUUGUGUUCAUUUGUAGUUUUCUAGCAUUGCAGGUUAGUCUUUUAGAAAACCUCGUUCUCUUAUGGUUUAUAAAACUUCAGUGUAAUGCUGCAUGCUAUAAUAAAAAAAUCUAACUUGCUUCUAACACCACCCAUACCACUGGAAAAGACUCACGGUAGCUUAUAAAGGCUUUGCCCGAAAUCUUGUCGACACGCACCAUCAGUGGCUGUCCUGG